rnacentral:rRNA from 1 species
GACGAACGCUGGCGGCGUGCUUAACACAUACAAGUCGAACGAUGAAGCUGGAGCUUGCUCCGGUGGAUUAGUGGCGAACGGGUGAGUAACACGUGAGCAAUCUGCCCUUGACUCUGGGAUAACUGCGGGAAACUGUAGCUAAUACCGGAUACGAGGCUCGAAGGCACCUUCGGGUCUGGAAAGAAUUUCGGUCAAGGAUGAGCUCGCGGCCUAUCAGCUUGUUGGUGAGGUAAUGGCUCACCAAGGCGACGACGGGUAGCCGGCCUGAGAGGGUGACCGGCCACACUGGGACUGAGACACGGCCCAGACUCCUACGGGAGGCAGCAGUGGGGAAUAUUGCACAAUGGGCGAAAGCCUGAUGCAGCAACGCCGCGUGAGGGAUGAAGGCCUUCGGGUUGUAAACCUCUUUUAGCAGGGAAGAAGCGAAAGUGACGGUACCUGCAGAAAAAGCACCGGCCAACUACGUGCCAGCAGCCGCCGUAA